UCGGCGACCGCAAGGCGAUAAGCCGCUUCAAUAAAAACUAGGGGAUUUGGGGUCGAACUCUUUGACUGUAGUUGAGGGGAAGGUAGCAGAGAAUCACAGUGGGCCGAAGAACGGAAAACGCAAUGAAGAGUCCUCGGAAAUUGAGUGUGAAAGUUGCUUUUCCCACUAAAAUACAUCAAGUAUAUGCCCAACCUUCAUGAAAGCCAAUAGAGAACCAAAGCGCCUUUUUGUGGGUGGCCUUAGUGAGACGGUUUCAGAGACAGACCUACAAAAUCAGUUCAGCAGAUUUGGAGAAGUUUCUGAUGUGGAGAUCAUCACACGGAAAGAUGACCAAGGAAACCCACAGAAAAUUUUUGCAUAUAUCAACAUCAAAGUAGCAGAAGCAGACCUGAAAAAAUGUAUGUCUGUUUUAAAUAAAACAAAAUGGAAAGGUGGAACACUGCAAAUUCAGCUAGCAAAAGAAAGCUUUUUGCACAGAUUGGCCCAAGAAAGAGAAGAAGCAAAAGCAAAAAAAGAAAAAUUAACAAGCAGCACCAACUUGUUAGAAAAAAUGGGAGGGGCAAAUUUCCAUAUGAAAGCUGUGCCAGGAACAGAAGUGCCAGGGCACAAGAAUUGGGUUGUGAGUAAAUUUGGAAGAGUCUUACCUGUUCUUCACCUUAAGAAUCAACAUAAACGUAAAAUUGUAAAAUAUGAUCCAUCAAAAUAUUGCCACAACCUUAAGAAGAUAGGGGAGGAUUUCACAAAUACCAUUCCUAUAUCCAGCCUCACUUGGGAAUUAGAAGGAGGAAACGACCCUAUGAGUAAAAAACGGCGUGGAGAGUUCUCUGACUUUCAUGGCCCGUCUAAGAAGAUGAUAAAAGUCCAAAAGGACAAAGCUCUCACUGGGUUGCUAGCCUCAAAUCCAAGGUCCAGUUCAGUAAUGGAGAGUCCGUACUUAACACAGCAACAAGCUACACAAAAGAGAACUUGUGAUUCCAUUACUCCUUCUAAAUCACCCCCUGUUUCUGGUUCUAAUACUCAGAAACUUAAAAAGGUACUUUUUCAGACAUCUGGCUUAGAAACUGUCAGGAAGAGAAAGAGCAUGUCUGAUGAUGAUUUUGAUUCUGAAGAUGAAUUAAGAGCAAUGAUUGCAAAAGAGGAAAAUUUACAGAGGACUAUGUGGUCCUCUAUAAAUGAAUCUGAAGAUGAUCCCUUUGAAGUUGUAAGGGAUGACUUCAAAUCAGAUGUUUACAAACUUUAUUCUUUAACAGAUUUAAGUGUCAAAAAUAAUGUUUCUGAUAAUAAUAUUGUGGGAAAUGACAGUGAGUAUGAUUCAGGAGAUACAGAUGAAAUCAUUGCAAUGAAAAAAAACAUUGAUAAAGUCAAAAACAGUAUAGAAUUUUCACAAAUGGAAAAAUCGAUACACAAGAAAACUUCUUUUAAAAACAGAGAAAACUCUGAUCUUUCUGGUCGUUGUAUUAAAGAUCAAAAAAGAAAAAAUGUAAAGUCAGCACUCGGCUAUGGGGUGAAACCUCUUAGUCUUAAAUCUCCACCUGACUCCAGCAGCAGUGAAGAUGCUGAUUCUGCAUCAGAAUUAGCUGUGUCUGAAGAAGAUGAGGAAUAUAAUGCCAUCAUGAAAAACUGUCUCCGUGUGAAUCUCACGUUAGCUGAUUUGGAACAGUUGGCUGGCAGUGAUCUGAAGGUUCAAAAUGAAGAUACCAAGAGUAAUAGCCCAAAAUCUAUAGCUCACUGCAAGUCUGACAGAGCCUCCAAGAGCCCUGACAGCCUCCACAGAGGCCGACAGUGUAUUCAUCCUGAAGAAAUUGUGGCUUCCCUUUUAGAAGGAGAGAAUUCUUAUUGUAAACAGAAAACAGAAGAAAACAUCUUAAAGCCAAAAUUUCAGGCUUUCAGGGGAAUAGGCUGUCUGUAUGAAAAGGAGUCAACAAAAAAAUCCUUGAAAGAGAAUGUCAUAAAUGGAGAUUGGAAUUCCUUUAAACACAAGGAUCCCAUGAGCAUUUCCACUGAAAGUGAUUCCACAUAUGCUAAUGGCUCAUCAAAUCAACUGACUCCAUGCCAACAUACAGAGAAGGCAAAUGGUCUACACCAUAUUCAGUCUCAAAAAAAACAGUUCACUUUUGAGAACCCAGAUCACAAGGUGGUAUCCUCCAGCAGUUCAGAAAAGGGAGGUAGGACUCCUAUUUCUAGUCUGUUGCCAUUAAAAGGAAAGAAAUCCUUAAGUGCAAAGACUUACAAGAUAGGCUCUGACAAAGAUAGUUGCCAUAGCACCACAAAGACAAAAUCUUCAGAGGAAGAGAGGUCUGAUUCAAGCAUCCUCACAUCUCUGGAUAAGUCACCAAAGGUGUCUUCCAGGAAGGACACACAGGAAAGCAAAACUGACUUCUCACUUUCUAUUAGUAAUUCUGCAGAUGUGAGUGCUGAAGAUAAGCAUUCCAUAGACAACCAGAAGCGUUUGGCAGCCUUGGAGGCAAGGCAGAAAGCAAAAGAAGUGCAAAAGAAGCUGGUGCAUAAUGCUCUAGCAAAU